rnacentral:rRNA from 1 species
ACAGAGGGUGCAAACGUUGUUCGGAAUUACUGGGCGUAAAGCGCGUGUAGGCGGACCUGUAAGUUGGACGUGAAAUCCCUCAGCUUAACUGGGGAACUGCGUCUGAGACUGGUGGGCUUGAGUGCAGGAGAGGAACGCGGAAUUCCAGGUGUAGCGGUGAAAUGCGUAGAUAUCUGGAGGAACACCGGUGGCGAAGGCGGCGUUCUGGACUGCUACUGACACUGAGGAACGAAAGCCAGGGGAGCAAACGGGA